CUUAAGAAUAUGGUGCACCCAUCACUGGCGCUCCUACAAUCAUCGAGCAUCCCGCCGGUAUGAACUGAGCCAUCCGUUUUGUUUCCAUACGGUGCUAAGUAUUCGUUGGUCCAGCGGAUGAUCACCAUGUUGCGCCCAUCACUUGCGGUGGCUGUGGUUGCCGUAGUAGGAAUUUGAUCUUAAAAUGGCGCACCUCUAAUCUUUACCAUUAUUGUGAGGUAAAAAAUGGAAGGAAUCGUCUGGACACUUGAUUCGUAAUCAUGAGGAGGUCCAAAAAUUUCAUGGCUAUCAACAGUUAACCGCUCUGGCGGAUAACACAAGUGUAACUGUUAAAGCCUGUAGGCCAAAGGAAAUGACGGAUGAACAGCGGGCACGUAGAAGUAAAUGCCGUCAUGAAUUGUACCAAGAGAAAAAAAACAAUCAUCAAAGCCGAGUGAUGUAGAAUGAAGGUAGAGCAGAAACCAACGGAUCGCGAAGCAUACCAUGCGAAGAAGGAAGCAAGCUGGACGUCGACUCAAAUGUGGUAUACUUUAUUAGGUACAAUGUGGUUAUAUAAUUUUUAAUAUUUCAGGAUAUCUAUUUUUAUGUUGCAGCAGAAUAUUUCCCGCCCGUAGCAACGCACGGGCAUAAUUCUAGUAAUAGUUAUAAUUUUUUAAUGUCAUAUAUGCAUGCAUGUGAGUGAUGUCA